UAACUACUAGGAAACGGUAGCUAAUACCGCAUAACGUCGCAAGACCAAAGAGGGGGACCCUCGGGCCUCUUGCCAUCGGAUGUGCCCAGAUGGGAUUAGCUUGUUGGUGGGGUAACGGCUCACCAAGGCGACGAUCCCUAGCUGGUCUGAGAGGAUGACCAGCCACACUGGAACUGAGACACGGUCCAGACUCCUACGGGAGGCAGCAUG
rnacentral:rRNA from 1 species